rnacentral:rRNA from 1 species
CCUACGGGAGGCAGCAGUGGGGAAUUUUGGACAAUGGGCGCAAGCCUGAUCCAGCAAUGCCGCGUGAGUGAAGAAGGCCUUCGGGUUGUAAAGCUCUUUUGUCAGGGAAGAAACGGUCUACUCUAAUACAGUGGGCUAAUGACGGUACCUGAAGAAUAAGCACCGGCUAACUACGUGCCAGCAGCCGCGGUAAUACGUAGGGUGCAAGCGUUAAUCGGAAUUACUGGGCGUAAAGCGUGCGCAGGCGGUUAUAUAAGUCAGAUGUGAAAUCCCCGGGCUCAACCUGGGAACUGCAUUUGAGACUGUAUGGCUAGAGUGUGUCAGAGGGGGGUAGAAUUCCACGUGUAGCAGUGAAAUGCGUAGAUAUGUGGAGGAAUACCGAUGGCGAAGGCAGCCCCCUGGGAUAACACUGACGCUCAUGCACGAAAGCGUGGGGAGCAAACAGGAUUAGAUACCCUGGUAGUCCACGCCCUAAACGAUGUCUACUAGUUGUCGGGACUUAAUUGUCUUGGUAACGUCAGCUAACGCGUGAAGUAGACCGCCUGGGGAGUACGGUCGCAAGAUUAAAACUCAAAUGAAAUUGACGG